UACGGAGGGAGCUAGCGUUGUUCGGAAUUACUGGGCGUAAAGCGCACGUAGGCGGCGAUUUAAGUCAGAGGUGAAAGCCCGGGGCUCAACCCCGGAAUUGCCUUUGAGACUGGAUUGCUUGAAUCUUGGAGAGGUGAGUGGAAUUCCGAGUGUAGAGGUGAAAUUCGUAGAUAUUCGGAAGAACACCAGUGGCGAAGGCGGCUCACUGGACAAGUAUUGACGCUGAGGUGCGAAAGCGUGGGGAGCAAACAGG
rnacentral:rRNA from 1 species